rnacentral:rRNA from 1 species
UACAGAGGAGCCAAGCGUUGUCCGGAUUGACUGGGCGUAAAGCGCACGCAGGCGGACGCGCGCGUGGGGUGUGAAAUCUGGCCGCUUAACGGCCAGGCGCCAUCCCAUACGGCGUGUCUGGAGUGAUGCAGAGGUCGAUGGAAUUGCCGGUGUAGUGGUGAAAUGCGUAGAGAUCGGGAGGAACACCAAUGGCGAAGGCAGCUCGCUGGGACGGUACUGACGCUGAGGCGCGAAAGCGUGGGGAGCAAACAGG